UACGGGGGGGGCAAGCGUUGUUCGGAAUUACUGGGCGUAAAGGGCUCGUAGGCGGCCAACUAAGUCGGAUGUGAAAUCCCCAGGCUUAACCUGGGAACUGCAUCCGAUACUGGAUGGCUUGAAUCCGGGAGAGAGAUGCAGAAUUCCAGGUGUAGCGGUGAAAUGCGUAGAUAUCUGGAGGAAUACCGGUGGCGAAGGCGGCAUCCUGGACCGGCAUUGACGCUGAGGAGCGAAAGCGUGGGGAGCAAACAGG
rnacentral:rRNA from 1 species